rnacentral:lncRNA from 1 species
GUUAUGUUUAUUAAUAAAUCUAGUAUAUAGAAAAAAAGCGAACGACCUUACAGUGCAUAAGUAUCGGCAUAAAAAUUAUCAAUUACGUUCAUCGCAUCCCAAACUAUAUCAUGUACAUGAAUUAUACUAGUAAAGAUAAAUAAAAUAAUACAUUAAAAACAUGUAUUACAAACUGACAAACAUGUAAAUCUGGCUACAUGUCUCAAAAUACUGGCAAUUUUGUAUGUAGCUAAAGAAUUGAUUACAAAAUUAAUUUAUUCCAAACCAAUCACCAUGACGAAAAAAUAAUUAAAAGUAGUUUAGCAUGAGUUUCAUGACGAAGCAUAAAACAAUACAGAGAUCAUAGACCAAGCUACUACGACCUCUGUAAAAAUAUAACAUGCGUUUCAUGACGAAGCAUAAAACAAAACCCACUACAUAUUAACUUUACAAAAGCAAAUACACAGAGGUCAUAGACCAAGCUACUACGACUUCUGAAAGAGUAGCAUGAGUUUCAUGACGAAGCAUAAAACAAUACAGAGAUCAUAGACCAAGCUACUACGACCUCUGCAAAACCAAAGCAGCAUGAGUUUCAUGACGAAGCAUAAAACAAUACCCACUACAUACUACAAUAUUUGCAAAAGUAAAUACACAGAGGUCAUAGACCAAGCUACCACAACCUCUGAGAAAAAUAAUACACAGAGGACAUAAGUACAAGCAACCACGCCCUC